rnacentral:rRNA from 1 species
CAGUAGGGAAUCUUCCACAAUGGACGAAAGUCUGAUGGAGCAACGCCGCGUGAGUGAAGAAGGGUUUCGGCUCGUAAAACUCUGUUGUUAAAGAAGAACAUAUCUGAGAGUAACUGUUCAGGUAUUGACGGUAUUUAACCAGAAAGCCACGGCUAACUACGUGUCAG